ACUUCCCUACUUCUUUAAAAGACCAAGCAAGAGGCUGUGUAUGUAUAAAAUUUUGCUCGCCCAUCCUUUCCAUGAAACAUUUGUGAUUUAAGCUUUAAGAAUCUUUGUGGGAUGAUUCUCCCCUCUUCCCAUUGCAAUAGACUUCUUAAUAAAAUGUUUUCAAGUUCCUGUCCAGAUUGGAUGACUUACUAUAGUGGUAAUGGUGCCAUGAUUUGAACAAAAUUCUGGCUGCCCCUCAACUGUUGUUUUUCUUCAACUUGCUGUGAUUGGACAGUAUGCUGACUUCCAGCCUGCUCUCUUCAGGCAAGUGGUGGUGCUGUCUCGUUAAACUCUUUGAAACCUGACUUGGAAAGCAAAAUCAAAAAUGGUUCUGGAAUUUCUUCAUUAUAGGUAGAUAUCUACUAUCUGACCACAGGAUUAUAGAAGAACCAAGAUAAUAGAAGUAUGGGGACUUCAUAACAAAAGCAAUCCACAUUUGAACAAAGGUCUAUAUGACACACAAGACUAGAUUUUUACAGCAUAUUUUUAGUCUUUAUAAUGAAUAAAGAAUAUUGUGAAAAGGCUACUAUUGCCAUAUAUAGGAUAAGAAAUGCUACCAUGACAAGGCCUCAUGUUAUACUGGUGGUAUUUGAGGAACACAGAUUGAACAUAGGAUAUUCACAAUUUUUAUGAAUCUGUUUUUAUAAAGAGAAGGUUUUAUAUCAAAGAAUUUCAGGCUCCUUCAGCCCUACAUAAGCAUUUAACAGCCUGGAUUUCUAGAAGGAAGCCAGUAUGAAGGCGCCUUGUUACCUGGUAAUAUGGUUUCUCAGGCUUAUUGUUUAGUGCUAACUAAAGGCAGUCAGAGCAAAUUAGAGAGCUCCAAAGUUGAUGGUUCAUUCACUUGCCAAUUUCUCCAAUGUGUUGGCCCCUAAACAGAAAUUUUCUUCUAUUUAAAAUAAACUGCUUUUCAGAGGA
rnacentral:lncRNA from 1 species